rnacentral:miRNA from 1 species
UUCGGUUUCCUCCAACAUCUCA